GCAGAUCAUGUUGCUUUGUUAUUGUGAUUAUUACAUGCUCCUUGCUUCUCUAUCUAGUUGAUAUAUAUUUGAACAGAAUGUAGGGUUUUCAUCAUAUGGAAAAAUCAUGAAAACCUCCUCUUUUACUGAAUAUUUGGUCAGUUGUUCUCAUUUUCAAUUCUGUGAAGUCACUUCAAAUCCUGUUCAAGCAUAAUCUUUAUUUGAAGAACAUUAAAUCUUAUUUUACUGGUGCUCACUUUUGGGGCAAACAAUUUUCAGUUAAUCUUCUUUACUCCUAUAGAAGAAAGACAAUACAUUUCAGAGCUUUUCACUAUUUGAAGUAAGAACAAGUAUGUUCAGCAGUUCAGGCACUUUUUUUCAUUGAUUUCACUGAUUUCAUUCCUCAUAACAACAGUAGUAGUUGAAAUUGUACUGCUUAUUUUCAGAUCUUUUGGGAUGAAGACUCAUAGUUCUAAUGAGGAGAUUGAUAUGGAGAGCCGGAGGUUAGUAAAGGACAAAGAACGACCUGUACGAAGUAAAAGAGUGAUCACAAUACAUAAUCAGGCCCUGUUAUCUGGUUUUGCAUACUGUAUCUCAUCCUGCAGCAUGAUACUGGUUAACAAGUAUGUCCUCUCCAGCUAUGACUUUAAUGCUGGAAUAUCUUUGAUGCUCUACCAGGUUAUCUCCUAUAUAAAACCUUAAUUUUCUAACCCAAGUUAAAUUUUAGCUAUAAGUCGUAUAGUGACUUAAUUCAGCUAAUUGAAGACAUUAUUUUCCUGUGCCAAUAAUAAAUUUCAUCAUUGCUUGCAGAAUCUUGUCUCUGUAGUCAUUGUUUCUAUCUUGAGUCUCCUUGGUGUAGUUACGACUGAGCCACUUACCUGGAGAUUAAUCAAGGUCUGGUUGCCAGUCAAUGUUAUUUUUGUGGGAAUGCUAGUCACAAGUAUGUUUAGGUACUUUUUUUUUCCAUAUGUUAUUUUGCUUUAUGUAAAUAUGUAGUUGCUUUGAGGUUAUAAUGUUCUCAUUAAUUCUCCCUUGCCUUCUAAUGUUUUAGUACUGCUAAUCGGCGUAAACCUUGUUUGAAUUUAUACUAUAUACUAUAGCCUCUAAUAUUAGUCAGUGGACCACCUUGACGUCUAUUGCCUCCUCAUUAUUCAUAGCAUGCUGGUUUGUUACUUUCCCACACAGUUCCACUUUUUCCCAGUAUUUCAACUGCUACCUUGAGCAUAGAAGACCAGGAUUUCCUUUCAGUUCCACUUUUUCCCAGUAUUUCGACUGCUACCUUGAGCAUAGAAGACCAGGAUUUCCUUUCAAUACUGAACUUACUAAGCAGAUCUAUGGAUGCUCUUUUUCAUGAGGGUCUCUCUUUCUUUCUAAUCUGUAAAAUGCCCUGGUCACCAAAAUGGAAAAAUAAAGAAAAAAACCAAAAGGUCUAGUGGCAGAGUGGUUAAUAUUUGAGGCCAAAGGUCUCAUGUUCGGGUCCACCGUCACACGAUCUUUAAAUUUAUUUGUUUAUUGACC
rnacentral:lncRNA from 1 species